CUUUGGGAGGCUGAGGUGGGUGGAUCACCUGAGAUCAAGAGUACAAGAUCACCCUGGCCAACAUGGUGAAACCCCAUCUCUACUAAAAA